UCUUAAAUUAGAUCCUGGAAAAAGUCCUGGUUCAAAAUAUACAUUUUGGUCUUUCUCCGUCUCUUACCCAGGCACUACAGUCUAUUCCCAGAUGGAGGUUUGUUGUGGCAUCGUUCCCUCAUGUACUGCACUGUACUGCAAGCAUGAUACAGUACAGAAAAAGUUCGAUUUUAAACCUUGGUACUGCAGAAACUAAACUUCUCUACACCCUGCAUUGGAUACUUUUAGAUGCUGCUGAGG